UUAAAAGCCCUGGAGACCUAUCUUUCUCCCCAAGAGAGGUACAACACUGGUAGUGACUGUGGAAGAUUCCUCCACACCAGCCCACUAACACGCUCCACCCCUGAACAGAUAGGGCAACCUCUAGUCAAGAGAUGGUAAUUCAGUAUUAUUGCCCAUUCAAGUCCUUGGCCUUU
rnacentral:sRNA from 1 species